rnacentral:misc_RNA from 1 species
GAUGAAGAACGUAGCGAAAUGCGAUAAGUAAUGUGAAUUGCAGAAUUCAGUGAAUCAUCGAAUCUUUGAACGCACAUUGCGCCCGCCAGCAUUCUGGCGGGCAUGCCUGUUCGAGCGUCAUUUCAACCCUCGAGCCCCCCCGGGGGCCUCGGUGUUGGGGGACGGCACACCAGCCGCCCCCGAAAUGCAGUGGCGACCCCGCCGCAGCCUCCCCUGCGUAGUAGCACACACCUCGCACCGGAGCGCGGAGGCGGUCACGCCGUAAAACGCCCAACUUUCUUAGAGUUGACCUCGGAUCAGGUAGGAAUACCCGCUGAACUUAAGCAUAUCAAUAGGCGGAGGA